rnacentral:misc_RNA from 1 species
AAUGUCCAUGACAACUACAAACAAAGCCAACAGACAAAUAUAAAAACUGACUCACACUUCUGGAAUCAACCAACUUCUUGUUCACAAAUCAUGGGAUUUGAAGAGGGGAAAAAUGAUAAGCUUAUACGUAAAAAUCAACUUGGAAAUGAACCGAUUAACACUAAAGAGAGGAAAUUGAGCAUGAAAACGAUUUUACUUGGUCCGAUUCGGCUACCCCAUUUCCUAUAUAUAUACAAAUAUGCAAUCUAAACCCCCAAUAAGUUAAAAAAUCAUCGAACAGCUCAAUUUCCAAGAUUUUAGCUGUUCAGGAAUUAAAGACAUACAAUAAUACCAUAGCAAUUGGCAAAAUUAUAAAAAACAAAAUAAGGAAGCGAAUGACUAACUCGUUUAUGGCCAUCACCGGCAUCGGUAAACAGAUAAACGGAACCGGGCUGUUGAAACCCCAGGUAUUGCUCGGCCAAAUGAAUGUAUUCGGACACCGGCUGGUCCCACUGCGAUGCUCUCUCCCUCACCUGCUCUUCCGUCGC